GGUAUUAGCAAUCCCAUCUAAGACUAGAAUUAAAUGAAACAAACAUGGUACUAAAUUUAGUCCAAGCCAAUCCAAGUCAAGUCUGUGUACCAAACGACCCCUGAAAGAAUGAAUACACAAACAACUGCAUACACUCACAUGAGAUUUACACAAACACAUACAUGCAUGAGAGAGAGAGAGAGAGAGAGAGAGAGAGAGAGAGAGAGAGAGAGAGAGAGAGAGAGGAGGAGGAGGAGGGGGGCGCCAGGGGUUGUGUUGAAACCACAAGAACCGCCCAGUAGCGUCUACUGUAAUUUUCAAUCUAUAUCACAAAUUUAAACUCGUCAUUUUGAAUAUGUGCUGUUUGCUCAUACAAGAUAUUAAAGUGCCAGAUUUUAUAUAUUUUUUUCAGAUAUCAAAAAUACCCUCACUUACAGUGUCAGUGGUAUUUAAAUUGGGUCUCCAUUUAUUGUGUUGAAUUUAUUUUCAACAUAUUUUAUGCAAUUUAAUUGUCAUUAAUGUGUAUCUGUCUCAUUAAAAAAAUUUUAAUUUCAAAUGGUGAUUAGCAUAAAUUUAUGGAUUUGUACAGUAAUUUUUUCAUGCUCUUAAAAAGAAAAAAGAAAAAGAAAAACAGUCAGCAAAAAUCACAAAAUAACUAUUUUUGGUCCAAAUAGAAAUUCAUUAAACAAGAACAAUACAAAGGAAAGGACCAAAUUAAUGGCCAAUUAACUAAACUAGACAAUAAAUAAAAGCCGGAUGCCCCUUACUCCUAUUAACUAAACUAGACAAUAAAUAAAAGCCGGAUGCCCCUAACUCCUUCCUUCUUCCUUCUUCCUUGAAAAUACAUACCUAGCGUUCCUUGUACACCUCGUAUAUAUUCCAGACAAAACAUGGAAUACCGAACAAGCAGCAAACAAAUUUAUCCCAGAAGGCCUUUACAUGCUUCAUCAUAAAUAUUUUAAUUGGUUCCCAACAUGGUUGUGCCUUUAUCCUCAACAACAAUAAUAGUAGGAGAAGAGAACUGAAGGCCCCGCACGUCGGCUUCCAAAAAUUUAAUGGAAUUUUCGCUCGUAAUAUUAUCCAAUAAAUUGCCCAAACAAAGAAUAGAAUUCCCCACAAUAUCCCAUUGUAGGGAAACCUACGGCACAUCAAUAGUAGUAACCACCACACCAACGUUAUGGCAAUAUUAAGAAACAGGGAAACAAUGACAAAGAAGGGACAGCAGGGGCAAUCAUGAGGCUUACACUGAGAAUCUCGGGAAACAACAUUGUCAAACUCUGGUUUUGCGUAUGAGGCCGGGUUAAUUCCUAUAACAAACAAGACAGUUGCUAAGCCCACUAACACAGCGAGUGUUAGCGGCAAUCUUUUCUCUUCUUUUUCGGCUUUCUCUGCUUUCUCUUUCUCUUCUUUGGCUUUCUCUUCAGCUCUGCCUUGGGCACUAGGUGAUAAUGUCGGCUUUGUCUGUGAGGGGAUAGUAAUGGCGUGGG
rnacentral:lncRNA from 1 species